ACUUGGAAAAUGAGAAGAGAGGCCUCAGCCAACACACACACGCCCAGCUGCCUUCCGAUCAUCCUUUUAAUAACCUGUAAUAUUGUGGCGGGAGGUUUCUGCCAGGCUGGAUCUGAUUGAUGGGCUCUCCGAUGAGACAUUACAAGAGCAAGAUGAGAUCUGUCGCUUGACACCGGAUUUGGGGGCCAGGGCGACAGCAAAUAUCACAUUAGCUGCCCGGGAGCUGGAGAGAUGAUAUCAGACUGUGUCUCAGCUCUGGACAAACACAAGCACAUAUCAUCCCAUCUCUCAAACACAACCUCAUCCACCUCGACACACACACACACACACACACACACACACACACACAUACAUCACUCCUGGAUCACUCGCACUCAUGUCCACGUCGGAUUAUUCUGCAGCUCCUGACGUGCUGAACGUUGCUGCGGCUCACGGUGUCGACGCAGGAAGGAGUGAGUUGUUUCUCCUUUGAUGCUUUUUCCUCUCAGACUCUCGUCUCAUCGCACCGACAGACUUCAUCCCGCCUUCGCUGCUUUCAACCCGACGUCCUUCUCAACCAAAGCCGCCACGAGAGACGAGAACGCCGACGUUCUGCAGAACAUUUAAAACACACUGCAAGUCUGGUGAAAUCAGCUGAUCAGAGUCUCGACUGAAGAUGAAGAUGAGGAUGAAGAUAAACGUCUCUAAACUCACUCAGAUUCACUUUUAAACUGAUGUUUGAUGUUUUAUAAAUUCAUUCUGUUGUUUUUUUCUUAGCAAAUUUAAUUUUGUUGUUUUUUUUAAUAUUAUUUUUGUUUUGUAAAUUCUAUCUUGUUUGAUAUUUAAUGCUAGAACUUGUUUUGAAAAGUGCUGUAUAAAUGUAUGAAUAGAUGAACUUUAUUGAUAUAAAACCUUUAAUGCAGCUUCACAAUUCAACAGCAGAAACAUCAGUUUAAGACACAGACACAAGGAGGAAAUGAGUGUUAAUAUUAAUAAACUAGUAUUGACACAGUUACACAGUCAUUAAAUAAAGAUUAGAGAAAAUCAUAAAAGAUUCAAACAGACAGUUAUUAGUUUUGCAGGUGUGAUAUUUAAACUGAAAACACUGAAACACG